UACGUAGGUGGCAAGCGUUGUCCGGAGUUAUUGGGCGUAAAGCGCGCGCAGGCGGUGCGGUAAGUCUCUGGUGAAAGCGCUCGGCUUAACUGGGCGAGGGCCGGGGAGACUGCCACGCUGGAGGGGAGCAGAGGCGAGUGGAAUUCCGGGUGUAGUGGUGAAAUGCGUAGAGAUCCGGAGGAACACCGGUGGCGAAGGCGGCCCGCUGGGCAACUGCUGACACUGAGGCGCGACAGCGUGGGGAGCAAACAGG
rnacentral:rRNA from 1 species